GGGUGGAACAAAAUGUUUGUUAGUUUUAGGAAACUGACAUUCAUGUUCUUGGCCAUAAGAAGACAAAUGUAUGUUAGGGCUGAGUAGGAGAAAGAGUUGCUUAGAAGACUGAAGGCUGAAAUUACUUAGAACAGAAUUGGACAGCAAGAAGACUCUUUGUUGCCUGGACAACUUGCUGAUGAAAACCUUAAUAUAAAGAUGGCCUGUUUCCAGGUACACAGGACUUUGGUUCAUCUGAAAG